rnacentral:rRNA from 1 species
AUUGAACGCUGGCGGCAUGCUUUACACAUGCAAGUCGAACGGUAACAGGCCGCAAGGUGCUGACGAGUGGCGAACGGGUGAGUAAUGCAUCGGAACGUGCCCAGUCGUGGGGGAUAACUACUCGAAAGAGUAGCUAAUACCGCAUACGAUCUAUGGAUGAAAGCGGGGGACCGUAAGGCCUCGCGCGAUUGGAGCGGCCGAUGUCAGGUUAGGUAGUUGGUGGGGUAAAGGCUCACCAAGCCAACGAUCUGUAGCUGGUCUGAGAGGACGACCAGCCACACUGGGACUGAGACACGGCCCAGACUCCUACGGGAGGCAGCAGUGGGGAAUUUUGGACAAUGGGCGCAAGCCUGAUCCAGCAAUGCCGCGUGCAGGAAGAAGGCCUUCGGGUUGUAAACUGCUUUUGUACGGAACGAAACGGCUCUGGUUAAUACCCGGGGCUAAUGACGGUACCGUAAGAAUAAGCACCGGCUAACUACGUG